UGAGCCGGCCGGGCGGCCGCGGUCCGGGGGAUGCCCCCGGGUCGAGGAACGUCCGGGCUCCACAGGGCAGGGCGGUGGGCAACACCCACCCGGGGCGACCCGCGGGAAAGUGCCACAGAGAACAGACCGCCCGCGCGAGAGCGCGGGCAAGGGUGAAACGGUGGUGUAAGAGACCACCAGCGCCCGGGGCAACCCGGGCGGCUAGGCAAACCCCGCCCGGAGCAAGACCCAGCAGGGAACGUCCGAGGGCUGCCCGCCCGAGUUCCCGGGUAGGUCGCUAGAGGCGCGCGGCAACGCGCGUCCCAGAUGGAUGGCCGCCACCGCGCCAACCCGGGCAACCGGGGCGCGGCACAGAACCCGGCGUACAGGCCGGCUCAUCCG
rnacentral:RNase_P_RNA from 1 species